UGGAGUUAUGUCGCUGUAGCGGGGCACUUACAUCGGUGGGAGGUGGAGUUAUGUCGCUGUAGCGGGGCACUUACAUCGGUGGGAGGUGGAGUUAUGUCACUGUAGCGGGGCACUUACAUCGGUGGGAGAUGGAGUUAUGUCACUGUAGCGGGGCACUUACAUCGGUGGGAGAUGGAGUUAUGUCACUGUAGCGGGGCACUUACAUCGGUGAGAGAUGGAGUUAUGUCACUGUAGCGGGGCACUUACAUCGGUGGAAGGUGGAGUUAUGUCACUGUAGCGGGGCACUUACAUCGGUGGGAGGUGGAGUUAUGUCGCUGUAGCAGGGCACUUACAUCGGUGGGAGGUGGAGUUAUGUCGCUGUAGCAGGGCACUUACAUCGGUGGGAGGUGGAGUUAUGUCACUGUAGGAGGGCACUUACAUCGGUGGGAGGUGGAGUUAUGUCACUGUAGCAGGGCACUUACAUCGGUGGGAGGUGGAGUUAUGUCGCUGUAGCAGGGCACUUACAUCGGUGGGAGGUGGAGUUAUGUCGCUGUAGCAGGGCACUUACAUCGGUGGGAGGUGGAGUUAUGUCGCUGUAGCAGGGCACUUACAUCGGUGGGAGGUGGAGUUAUGUCGCUGUAGCAGGGCACUUACAUCGGUGGGAGGUGGAGUUAUGUCGCUGUAGCAGGGCACUUACAUCGGUGGGAGGUGGAGUUAUGUCGCUGUAGCAGGGCACUUACAUCGGUGGGAGGUGGAGUUAUGUCGCUGUAGCAGGGCACUUACAUCGGUGGGAGGUGGAGUUAUGUCGCUGUAGUAGGGCACUUACACCGGUGGGAGGAAGGUUUGUAGUGUAGGCACUGACUUAUGUCGACCUAACUGUUUAGUGUAGAUAAGCCCUGAGAUGACUUUUUUGGUUGAAUUUGUGGAAGGUGGUAAGACUUAUAAUAAAACUCAGCUACAAUCUUAACUAUGGCACAACUGUCAUUGUUUCAUAAUACUAUAAUGAAAUUAGAUCUGGGCAAAAAAAUUUGACCAAACUGUUUUUCAGCCAAAAAUGCAGAUUCAGCAACAGUGAAACAUUUCAUGAAUCUGUGUUGAUUUUGCCAAAUUGUUUC